UGUAGCCCUAUAUAUAAGCAUGCAAAAGAAGAAAAAAAAUCAAUAUAACAAACAAAGUUAAUGUCACUAGUAGUUCAAUGUAGAUCAAUUCUAAAACAUAUCAUCAAAAUGUCAAAGUUAUUUAAUUUUGUCACACAAAUAUUCUUUCAUCUCUGGUUUGGUAUUUAGAUAUAUCGAAAGUGGCGAGAAAAUCACAUUACAGGUGGCGAAUCAAUAUUCAUACACUCAAUCCCAGAAUCUUGUGGCGAGGCAAUUCUCACACACAAGUAUAAAACUUCAUCUUGACUUUCUGUGGCGAGGCAAUUCUCACACACAGAUCUGUAUAAAACGACUGACUCAAGCGUUUGUGGCGAAACAAUUUUCAC
rnacentral:lncRNA from 1 species